rnacentral:rRNA from 1 species
ACGCUGGCGGCAGGCUUAACACAUGCAAGUCGAACGGUAGCAGGAGAAAGCUUGCUUUCUUGCUGACGAGUGGCGGACGGGUGAGUAAUGCUUGGGAAUCUGGCUUAUGGAGGGGGAUAACUACGGGAAACUGUAGCUAAUACCGCGUAGAAUCGGAAGAUGAAAGUGCGGGACCGCAAGGCCGCAUGCCAUGAGAUGAGCCCAAGUGGGAUUAGGUAGUUGGUGGGGUAAAGGCCUACCAAGCCUGCGAUCUCUAGCUGGUCUGAGAGGAUGGCCAGCCACACUGGAACUGAGACACGGUCCAGACUCCUACGGGAGGCAGCAGUGGGGAAUAUUGCGCAAUGGGGGGAACCCUGACGCAGCCAUGCCGCGUGAAUGAAGAAGGCCUUCGGGUUGUAAAGUUCUUUCGGUAUUGAGGAAGGUUGAUGUGUUAAUAGUACAUCAAAUUGACGUUAAAUACAGAAGAAGCACCGGCUAACUCCGUGCCAGCAGCCGCGGUAAUACGGAGGGUGCGAGCGUUAAUCGGAAUAACUGGGCGUAAAGGGCACGCAGGCGGUUAUUUAAGUGAGGUGUGAAAGCCCCGGGCUUAACCUGGGAAUUGCAUUUCAGACUGGGUAACUAGAGUACUUUAGGGAGGGGUAGAAUUCCACGUGUAGCGGUGAAAUGCGUAGAGAUGUGGAGGAAUACCGAAGGCGAAGGCAGCCCCUUGGGAAUGUACUGACGCUCAUGUGCGAAAGCGUGGGGAGCAAACAGGAUUAGAUACCCUGGUAGUCCACGCUGUAAACGCUGUCGAUUUGGGGAUUGGGCUUUAAGCUUGGUGCCCGUAGCUAACGUGAUAAAUCGACCGCCUGGGGAGUACGGCCGCAAGGUUAAAACUCAAAUGAAUUGACGGGGGCCCGCACAA